GUUUGUCCCUCUGAACUACCACUUAACUGGAGUUACAAAAUGGCUCUAUGGAGUGAGAUUAUUUCACAGUAUGAAGACACUUAAUAAUAGCGUGUCCCACAUAGCUUCCUACAAGAAUUUGUAUCUACUGCAUGAUUAUCAUUGCUGCUUUCUGGUUCCCAGAAUUAGCUACUGAUGCAAGGUCCUGUCGGGAAUGAAGAAUGCAGCCAAUCUGUGGAGCUGACUCACUUUUAAAUCAGCUUGUGAAGUUGAAAUCUGCUUAUUAAAACUUCUACUAAAAGGUCAGAAACAGCUGAAGAAGAAAACAAAGCAUUGGAAGAAUACCUGAAGGAUAGUAAAGAAGAUGCAUUGAAGAUAGCAGUAUACAAUGAUGGCUUACUGAGUAUUGGAAAGACCAUACUGACCUAUAAGAAAGAUCAAACGAAGAACAGAAAAGAGACACGGCAAGCUAAAUAUUAUAUGGCAUGUACACUACAAAAAAAAUCACCAGCCAAUCAAGCAGAUAACAAAAACAGCUGGCAAUGGCUAAGUGCAGGAAAGAAAGACACAGGGCCUAAUUCUGGCUGCAUAAGAUCAAGCCUUAAGAACAAAUGCAUACAAAAUCAGAAUUGAGAAGACAGCAACAGACAGCAAAUGCCACUUCUGCAAAGAAACCAAAGAAAUAGUGGACUUUCUAGUUAGCUGCAAACAAAUCACACAGAUGGACUAUAAAUAGCAUGGUAAAAUAGCAACAAUAGUGCAUUGAAAUAUCUGCAAGCAAGACCAGAAAAUGGACAAAGUCGUAGAAAAUGAAGAUGCUAAAGUGCUCUGAGAUUUUAGAAUUCAAACAGGCAAGGAUUUGCCACACAGCACUCCAGACUUAACAAUUGUCCAUAAGUCUCAUAGUGGACGUGGCAGUACUUGGAAACAGCAAAAUAGAAGAGAAAGAAUUAGAGAAAAAUCACAAAAUGCAAUCACCUGCAGAUAGAAGUAGACUGGCUACAGCAAAAGAAAACAAAGGUUGUAUUGAUAGUGAUAGUGAUUGCCUUGGGGGCAAUCCCAAAACAUCUGGAGGGACCACUUGAACCCCAUCAGCUUUGACAAAAUCACCAUCAGUCAAUUGCAAAAGGCAGCUUUUUAAGGAACAGCUUACAUUCUGUGAUGAUACCUUUAACACCAUCAAGCAACAAUCUCAACAGUAUAAUCCAAUCUGUAAAUGUUGAAUGUAAAAGAAAACUGUUAUGUAUGCAGGUU
rnacentral:lncRNA from 1 species